AUUGAACGCUGGCGGCAUGCCUUACACAUGCAAGUCGAACGGCAGCGCGGGGCAACCUGGCGGCGAGUGGCGAACGGGUGAGUAACAUAUCGGAACAUACCCUAGAGUGGGGGAUAACGUAGCGAAAGUUACGCUAAUACCGCAUACGCACUAAGGUGGAAAGUGGGGGAUUCGCAAGAACCUCAUGCUCAUGGAGUGGCCGAUAUCUGAUUAGCUAGUUGGUGAGGUAAAGGCUCACCAAGGCGACGAUCAGUAGCUGGUUUGAGAGAACGACCAGCCACACUGGAACUGAGACACGGUCCAGACUCCUACGGGAGGCAGCAGUGGGGAAUUUUGGACAAUGGGGGCAACCCUGAUCCAGCAAUGCCGCGUGAGUGAAGAAGGCCU
rnacentral:rRNA from 1 species